UGUUUUGUGACCGUGUGAUGUAAGAGUGAUGUUGGAGGGUUGUAUUUGCAGUUUUUAUACUCUUGCUUCCUAUUGUCUUUAGUGGAUAUUGUAGAUCUUACACUCUUGCUUUUAGUACUUCUAGUACAUUUUGUACAUUCUAUGCUCUGAUACCAUGUUAGACUUUUCUAUUAAUUAUUACUCUUCUAGUAUGGUUUUGGUAGACGCCUUGUAUACUUUGGCUUCGCUUGGUUCGAAAAUUAGUAGGAACUAGUUAUACCGGGGAUAGGUACAAGUAUGAAUUUUUGCAAGAACAAUGGUAUUUUUUUGUUUGGAUGAAAAUAUGAGUAUAAGCUGCAUGGAAUUAGAAAAAUUGUGUUUGGAUGGUUAUUGGGAAUAAAAAAAAUAAAUAAAUUGAUGUUUAUAAAUAAAAAAUAAUGAUAUUACCCCUAUAAUUGAAUUUUAAUUUUUAAAUUUUAAACUUAUAAUUUUAAAUUGAAAAUUUUAACUUUUAAAUUUUAAAAUUUGAAAUUAAAAUUUAAAAUUUAAAUAUUCAAAUUUAUAAAUUUUAAAUUUAAGACCAAAUUUAAAUUUGAAAUAUGUAAAAUAUCAAAUUUAAAAUUUAAAAAUUUAUAAUAUCAAAUUUAAAUUUUAAACUUUAAAAUUUACCAUUUACAAUUUUAAAUUUUAAUUUUAAAAUUACAAAAUUUAAAUUCUAAAUUUUAAAACAAAACUCUAUCUCUCUCUCUCUCUCUCUCUCU
rnacentral:lncRNA from 1 species